rnacentral:snoRNA from 1 species
CAGACUGAUUUAAAACAGCGCCGGAGGAACCAGACUGGGCAGAAAAGGAAGUUGCGAAAGCUCUUCCAGUGUUAUCUGGAA